rnacentral:rRNA from 1 species
UCCCUAACAGCUAGCCCAGCCCCUACUAACAACAAAUCCUUAUUAAUAACCCCAAAUGUAACAACGAAACAUAAGCAAACCAUUUUACCCCUAAAGUAUGGGAGACAGAAAAAGGCCUAUUGGCGCUAUAGAAACUAGUACCGCAAGGGAACGCUGAAAGAGAAAUGAAACAACCCAGUAAAGGAAAAGAAAGCAGAGACAAACCCUCGUACCUUUUGCAUCAUGAAUUGGCAAGCACUUCCAAGCAAAGAGCCCUUUAGUUUGAGCCCCCGAAACUUGGCGAGCUACUCCAAGACAGCCUAUUGGGCCAACCCGUCUCUGUGGCAAAAGAGUGGGAAGAUCUUUGAGUAGAGGUGAUAGACCUACCGAGCCUAGUUAUAGCUGGUUGCCUGAGAGCCGAAUAGAAGUUCAACCUUUUGUAUACUCUAACCCCCUAGAAGCACCCUUCUCCCCCGGGCCAGAGACGCACACAAAAGAGCUAUUCGAGGGAGGGACAGCUCUCUCGAACAAAGACACAACUUUUUUAGGCGGCUAAAGACUAAAACAAACAAGGCGAACACUAAGGUGGGCCUAAAAGCAGCCACCCUAAUAGAAAGCGUUAAAGCUCAAGUGAACAACCCCCUAAAAUAUCAGUAAAUACAUCUUAUGCCCCUUAAUUUAUCAGGCCCUUCCAUGCCUUCAUGGAAGAGAAACUGCUAAUAUGAGUAAUAAGAAAGCUAAACACUUUCUCCCAGCCCCAGCGUAACCGGAACAGACCCUAACCGAAAAUUAACGUUCCCCUGACAGAGGGUAGUGGGGCAUCCUCCCCAUGGACAAGAGAUCCCCCCUAACAACCCCGUUAGCCCCACACUGGUGAGCAAAAGGAAAGACAAAAAGGAAAAGAAGGAACUCGGCAAACACUAGCCUCGCCUGUUUACCAAAAACAUCGCCUCCUGCCCUCUUAGUAUAGGAGGUCCCGCCUGCCCUGUGAUAUAAUUUAACGGCCGCGGUAUUUUGACCGUGCGAAGGUAGCGUAAUCACUUGUCUUUUAAAUGAAGACCUGUAUGAAUGGCAUAACGAGGGCUAAGCUGUCUCCUUUCCCCAGUCAAUGAAAUUGAUCUGCCCGUGCAGAAGCGGGCAUGUCAACAUAAGACGAGAAGACCCUAUGGAGCUUGAGACGAAGGACAGCCUAAGUUAAACACCUUAAAUAAACAAGACCAAACCAAGUAGCCCCUGUCUUAAUGUCUUUGGUUGGGGCGACCAUGGGGAAACACGAAACCCCCGAGCGGAACGAGCUAACCCUCCGAAACCAGAGCCGCAGCUCUAGUAACCAGAACAUCUGACCACUUAGAUCCGGCAACGCCGAUCAACGGACCCAGUUACCCUAGGGAUAACAGCGCAAUCCUCUUUUAGAGCCCAUAUCGACAAGAGGGUUUACGACCUCGAUGUUGGAUCAGGACAUCCUAAUGGUGCAGCCGCUAUUAAGGGUUCGUUUGUUCAACGAUUAAAGUCCU